CGUCAGAUUCUUGCUCACAAGAUCCAAACGGAAGCUGAACCUUCCUCCGUCUCCGGCGAUAUCUUUGCCGUUUAUCGGCCACCUUCACCUCCUCAAGCCACCAAUCCACCGAAUAUUCCUUUCACUCUCAAAAUCCAUCGGAAAUGCUCCGAUCUUUCACCUCCGCCUUGGAAACCGCCUCGUUUAUGUCAUCUCGUCACGUCCCAUGGCCGAAGAAUGUUUCACUGAGAACGACGUCGUUCUCGCGGACCGUCCCAAGUUCAUCUUGAGCAAGCACGUUUUCUACAACUCCACUCAUUUAGCCUCAGCAUCUUACGGCGACCACUGGAGGAAUCUCCGCCGCAUCGCCGCCAUAGAGAUAUUCUCGACUCAGAGACUUAAUUCGUUUUUAUUUAUCCGUAAGGACGAGAUCCGACGGCUCAUCUCACGGCUUUCCCGUGACUCUUUACAAGUAUACGACCUCUCUUUAUUCAUUUUUAAUUUAUUUUUAACUGACGUUUUUUUUUUAUAUGUAUUAAUUCUGGAUGGUACAACAUUACUUAUACUGUUAUACACCAGUAGGCUAGAUUUAUCUUGGUCAACUAGUUUUCUUUUCACUCGAAGACGUUAAGUUAAGUUAUUUUUUCAUGUGCUUAAGGCGUUUACUUUUCCAAGAAGAAAAUAAGUUUUUCCAAGGCGUAUAUAUGAAAGCCAUUAUUUUCGAACGUCUCAACUCAUCACAUUAUAUACAUAGUCUAUACACAUAAAACGUAACUCUAACUUAUACUGAUGAUCAAGUUUAGGUUCUAAUUCUUGUUUGAAAUUGGUAAAAUAUAUGGUUUUAGCUCUUAUUGUUUUAAAUUGUAAUGGUAUAUAUUUCCACCAGGGAUUUGUGGAGGUGGAGAUGAAAUCAUUAUUAACCGAUUUGGCAUCCAACAACGUCAUCAGAAUGGUGGCCGGGAAGCGAUACUACGGUGAGGAUAGCGACGAAGCUAAAGUCGUGAGGCAACUUGUGGCGGAGGUGGUGACCAGCAACGGUGCUGGAAACCCAGCUGAUUAUCUUUCGGUUUUACGUUGGCUAACCAAUUACGAGAAGCGAAUCAAGAAUCUAGGGAACCGUUUUGAUGCGUUUUUACAGAGAAUUGUCGACGAGAAACGUGCAGAGAAAGAAAAAGGUCAAACUAUGAUCGAUCACUUGCUUUCUCACCAAGAAACCCAACCCGAAUACUAUACAGAUGUCAUUAUCAAAGGACUCAUACUCGUAAGUAUUCCAUUCAUUCAAUAAGCAAAAUAUACAUACAUAAAAGUUUAUUAACAACCAAUGUGUGCAGAGUCUGAUACUUGCAGGGACAGACACCUCAGCGGUGACAAUAGAAUGGGCAAUGUCGAAUUUGUUGAACCAUCCACAAGUACUUAAAAAGGCGAGAACCGAGAUCGAUGAGAAAAUUGGUUUUGACCGGUUCGUAGAGGAAUCGGACAUUGUGAAUCUCCCUUAUCUCCAAAACAUUGUCUCGGAGACAUUACGUUUGUACCCUUCGGUUCCGCUACUACUACCUCAUUUGUCAUCGAAAGAUUGUAAAGUGGCGGGAUAUGAUAUCCCACGUGGUACGAUGCUGUUGACUAACGUGUGGGCUAUGCAUAGAGAUCCAGAGUUAUGGGAAGAUCCAGAGAUGUUCAAGCCAGAAAGAUUUGAAAAGGAAGGAGAGGCUGAGAAGCUAAUGCCAUUUGGGAUGGGUCGAAGAGCUUGUCCUGGAGAAGUUCUUGCUCAACGUUUAGUGAGUCUGGUUCUUGGAACUUUGGUUCAAUGUUUCGAGUGGGAAAGGGUUAGUGAGGAACUUGUGGACAUGACCGAAGAGAAAGGAAUCACGCUGCCUAAACUAGUGCCUUUGCGAACCAUGUGCAAAGCACGCUCCAUUGUUGGUAAACUGAUAUAGUGCUUGUCUUAAGAAGUGUAUUUGUUUGCUUUAUCAACACAAACAAAAAAGAAGUGUAUUUGUUUUUUGUUUUUGUCUUUGUUUUUGUUUUUACUUAAGAAACAUGUAUUAAUUUGUUUAAAUGGCAACUUUUUUAUGUGUUUAUUUGUUUGGGUCGUCAUGCGAAUAUUUUGCUGCAACUUUCACGAUCUUGUUUGAUAUCGGCUUCAUGGUCACUACUCACUAGGUCAAAUAUCAAUUUAAUACAGUGAAUCUCAAGCUACCACAUAUAAAAAAUGCUAUAAAUAUAUAUAAUUGCCAAACCAUAUAAUAAAAAUUUGCGAUAGUCAACUGUACAAUAUAUAGUACUAUAAUAUAUGGCUGUGUCAGUCAACUGUAGCAUUACUAGAGCCAUGGAACUCGCAAAAGAAAACCAUUACACUGAACUACUAACUAUGUUUGGUUUGAAGUCCUGUAUGGAGUUGAUAAAAUGAUCAAAAAAAGGAAAAGAAACAAUAAUUAUAAAGUCUAUAAAAACAAUAUAAGUCUCCAAAAUCCAUAAAAACAAUAUAAUUCGACAGUAGACCAAAAUACGAACAAACAGAUAUAUGUGUAAAAUUUCUCCAAUGCUAAUGAUGACCAUAACGAUCAGUCCAGUGGAAAGCACCGAUCGAUGCUGGUGAAAAGAUUGUAAAAUAGGUAGCUCAAAUUCAGCCAAUUAUUAAUCUAAGAACUUAUGAAAACAGCAGAUUAUUAUAGAACUCGGAAACAAUUUGCUUGUUUAUCAAUUAACCAUGUAGGCUCCAUCGUAAUUAAGGAUCCAAAACCAUGAAGUUUUUCAAAGGCGUGAAGUUUUCGAGAGCCAUGUCAACCACGGCAAUCGCCACGCCUGGAAUUUUUCAACGUAUUCGCCGAAUGUGUACACUGUACUGUUUCGCGGAUCAGACCGCAAACUCGCAGACCUUAUUGGGUUGGGCCGUGGAUCCUCGGCCCGGUUAGCAUCUCUACCACCUACUGUAGUUAAAUUUAAAAAUCUCUACCACCUACUGUAGUUAAAUUUAAAAAUCGCCAAUAAUAAUACAUCACACGCCACAGCUAAUGUGUCAAUAUCAAAAACAACAAAUACAAAACAAUGACUCAUGGAUAUUUGUAAAUUUAAGCUGGAGAGAAGAAUAAUCAAUCACAAAACUGAAAAAAAGACUCAGAGAUAAAGAAAAGAACUCUACAAGUCAAGCAUAGGUUUCAGUUUGUGUUGAAAAAUGUUUUAAAUAAAAAUUGUAGAAAACAUGUAUUUUUCUUUUGAAUAUAAUUUAACAUUGUAUUUUUUUUUUUUUUUAAAAGAAUGCCUCAGAGAUAAAGAAGAACCCAACAACAAAUAUAAAAGAAUGACUCCGAGAUAAAAGAAGAACACAACAACAACAACAAAAAUGGAACUUAUACAAAUCUUAAUACUCUCUUCUCUCUCUCUCUUGAUCUCCGUCAGAUUCUUGCUCACAAGAUCCAAACGGAAGCUGAACCUUCCUCCGUCUCCGGCGAUAUCUUUGCCGUUCAUCGGCCACCUUCACCUCCUCAAGCCACCGAUCCACCGAACUUUCCUUUCACUCUCAAAAUCCAUCGGAAUUGCUCCGAUCUUCCACCUCCGCCUCGGAAACCGCCUCGUUUAUGUCAUCUCUUCACGUCCCAUGGCCGAAGAAUGUUUCACUGAGAACGACGUCGUUCUCGCGGACCGUCCCAAGUUCAUCUUGAGCAAGCACGUCGGCUACGACGCCACUCAUUUACUCUCAGC
rnacentral:lncRNA from 1 species